rnacentral:rRNA from 1 species
GUGGCUUCUAUGAAGCGGGCUGGAUCCUUUGGGGUUACAGCCUUGCUGAAUUAUUCACCCGUGUCUUUUGCGUACUUCUUGUUUCCUUGGUGGGUUCGCCCACCAUAGGACAAACCAUUAAACCUUUUGUAAUUGCAAUCAGCGUCAGUAAAAAAAUUAAUAAUUACAACUUUUAACAACGGAUCUCUUGGUUCUGGCAUCGAUGAAGAACGCAGCGAAAUGCGAUAAGUAGUGUGAAUUGCAGAAUUCAGUGAAUCAUCGAAUCUUUGAACGCACAUUGCGCCCUUUGGUAUUCCAAAGGGCAUGCCUGUUCGAGCGUCAUUUGUACCCUCAAGCUUUGCUUGGUGUUGGGCGUCUUGUCUCCAGUUCGCUGGAGACUCGCCUUAAAGUAAUUGGCAGCCGGCCUACUGGUUUCGGAGCGCAGCACAAGUCGCGCUCUCUUCCAGCGAAGGUCAGCAUCCACAAAGCCUUUUUUCAACUUUUGACCUCGGAUCAGGUAGGGAUACCCGCUGAACUUAAGCAUAUCAAUAAGCGGAGGAAAA